rnacentral:rRNA from 1 species
AACGAACGCUGGCGGCAUGCCUAACACAUGCAAGUCGAACGAUGCCUUCGGGCAUAGUGGCGCACGGGUGCGUAACGCGUGGGAAUCUGCCUUUCGGUUCGGAAUAACUCAGGGAAACUUGAGCUAAUACCGGAUAACGUCGCAAGACCAAAGAUUUAUCACCGAAAGAUGAGCCCGCGUAGGAUUAGCUAGUUGGUGAGGUAAAGGCUCACCAAGGCGACGAUCCUUAGCUGGUCUGAGAGGAUGAUCAGCCACACUGGGACUGAGACACGGCCCAGACUCCUACGGGAGGCAGCAGUGGGAAAUAUUGGACAAUGGGCGAAAGCCUGAUCCAGCAAUGCCGCGUGAGUGAUGAAGGCCUUAGGGUUGUAAAGCUCUUUUACCCGGGAAGAUAAUGACGGUACCGGGAGAAUAAGCCCCGGCUAACUCCGUG